rnacentral:misc_RNA from 1 species
GAAAUGCGAUAAGUAGUGUGAAUUGCAGAAUUCAGUGAACCAUCGAAUCUUUGAACGCACAUUGCGCCCCUCGGCAUUCCGUGGGGCAUGCCUGUUCGAGCGUCAUCUACACCCUCAAGCUAUGCUUGGUGUUGGGCGUCUGUCCCGCCUCCGCGCGCGGACUCGCCCCAAAUGCAUUGGCAGCGGUUCCUUGCCCCCCUCUUUGCGCAGCACAUUGCCAUUCGAGGCGGCGGCGGCCCGCGUCCAACAAGCUCAACCCCCCCGUCUUUGACCUCGGAUCAGGUAGGGAUACCCGCUGAACUUAAGC